UAGUAGGAAAAACUUCAAAAACCCCACUGUAGUUUCGCACGUUCUUACUUUACUACCCGUUGUUUAAAGUGUAUCAAUUUGAUGCCCUAUAGUUUUUAUUUUUCUCUUUUUAUUACCAAUUUCACUUUUUUUUUUAAAAAUCAGUGACAAAGUUAAAAUUAAAGGGUACUAAAAUGAAUAUUUGAUAAACCUAGCUCGGUAUUUGAAAGUUUUCUGUAUAUAAUUUAACGAAAUAUUAACGAAAAAGCUACCGAAAAGAAAAAAAUGAAACUAUAGAGCACCAAAUUAAUACACUUUAACCUACAAGGUACUAAAGUGAGAACGUAUGAAA
rnacentral:lncRNA from 1 species